AUUGAACGCUAGCGGGAUGCUUUACACAUGCAAGUCGAACGCGUGGCGGACGGGUGAGAAAUAUAUCGGAACGUGCCCAGUAGCGGGGGAUAACUACUCGAAAGAGUGGCUAAACCCGCAUAUUAUUGGGGCUGCCGAUAUCGGAUUAGCUAGUUGGUGGGGUAAAGGCUCACCAAGGAAACGAUCCGUAGCUGGUUUGAGAGGACGCCCAGCCACACUGGGACGGAGACACGGCCCAGACUCCAACGGGAGGCAGCAGUGGGGAAUGUGGUACAAUGGGGGAAGCCCUGAUCCAGCCAUCCCGCGUGUAUGAGAAGGCCUUCGGGUUGUAAAAUACUUUUGGCAGAGAAGCGGUAUCUGAAGAAUAAGCACCGGCUAACUACGUGCCAGCAGCCGCGGUAAUAC
rnacentral:rRNA from 1 species